GGUAUAUAUGGCAGGGAUGAGACCAGCGUUUCCAUCUUCCCGGAAUUGGUCUCAGCCUUUUAGGUUGGCAAGUACAAGAUCUCCUAAGUGGCUGAAUGGGCUGGCAGGCCUAGACACCCAGGUCCUCCAGUGUAAUGUGAGCUAAAGAUUACGACAGUGAGUUGGUUUGUCUUGUUCCUGAUUUGAAUGAGAUCACUUCUAAAAUUUUACCAGUGUGGCAUCAGAUGUCUGCUAACAGAAGUCUCUGGGUUUAACGGAAUGAAGAAGAAUG